rnacentral:tRNA from 1 species
GUUCUUGGUGUAGUGGUUUGAGCACUGGACUACAACUCUGGAGACCAGGGUUCAAAUCCCUGCUCAGCCACA